rnacentral:lncRNA from 1 species
GCUGGAUUGCUAUCACUAGUCUUCAAAAUCCCAAUCAAUCCGGCUUGCACAUACAUUGCUCAACAGAAACUAACUUCAGUCAGAGAUGCAUUUGAAAGGAAACAAAGCAGACGCUAAUACUGUGAGACAAGGUACUCAAGAAUUGUUUAAAAAAAACUUGAAAUAUGAGAAGAAGCUAUAGCUGAAAUAUGAUCAGAAGAUAAGGGGUGGUUCAACUUUAUCUCAGUAUCCAAAAUCAACAAACAAAAGGAGAAAUCUUAAAACCAGUGAGUUAAUCACAAACGCAGAGCACUGAAAACGCAGAAUCCAUACUAGUUUAAAGACCAGUACAGAUAUGUAUGAAGAAGUAACAGGAAAUGAUGAAUAAAAAGGAAGAAAGCUACAGAAUUUGUGAAGAUUAUUCGAUGAAGAUUAUUAUGAUGUUAAUAUUUGUCUGUGCAGUUCAGCAGAGAAAUCGUCACGCAAGAUAUUCCAAGCCUUCUUAAUUUGUCUGGAAGCAAAUCAGUGCAGCAGAAUAUGGAAUCAAACUCAAUCCAGCAAAGAAAAGUCACACAAGAUAUUUUUUGCAUGGAAUCAAUCUCAAUCC